rnacentral:rRNA from 1 species
UACGUAGGGGGCUAGCGUUGUCCGGAAUCAUUGGGCGUAAAGAGCGUGUAGGCGGUCCGGUAAGUCUGCUGUGAAAGUCCAGGGCUCAACCCUGGGAUGCCGGUGGAUACUGUCGGGCUAGAGUGCGGAAGAGGCGAGUGGAAUUCCCGGUGUAGCGGUGAAAUGCGCAGAUAUCGGGAGGAACACCAAUUGCGAAGGCAGCUCGCUGGGACGUUACUGACGCUGAGACGCGAAAGCGUGGGGAGCAAACAGG